CCACCGCUAUUGGAAUUCGAUUAAGACAUACGAGUCGAGAGUCUUCGGGACUCGGCGGACCGCUCGUAACACGUGGAUAACAUACCCUUGGGAGGGGGAUAACCUCGGGAAACUGAGACUAAUGCCCCAUAGGUCCAGAAUGAUGGAAGCUUCUGGGCUGAAAGCUCCGGCGCCCAAGGAUUGGUCACGGCCUAUCAGGUUGUAGUAGUGUAACGGACCACUAGCCUAUAACGGGUACGGGCCUUGAGAGAGGGAGCCCGGAGAGGGCACUGAGCAAGGGCCCAGGCCCUACGGGCGCAGCAGGCGCGAUG
rnacentral:rRNA from 1 species